rnacentral:tRNA from 1 species
AUUUGAAUAGUUUAAAAAAAACAUUAUAAUUUCAAUAUAAAUUUAUAAAUUAAUUUAUUUUAAAUU